AUGCUCGCACGAAGCCAUGUCAGUGGUCUUCGGCACCGAUCGGCCCGACAGAGUAGUGGAGACCCGACCACCACCAACGACCACCGCAUCCGCGAGGAAAGGGACCUCAAUGCCUGCAGACACCACCCGGACCAAGCCCACCAUCACCUACACGAAGCGGGAGCUCUGACCCGUGUCGAGCCUCAAGCCAAUCCGGUCGAGCACGAGCCCCAGGUCUCGGCCAUCUCCACCACGCAAGCACCUCGUGCCACCGGUCCAGACCUAGGAGAAGGGAUGAGCUACCAGCACCCACACCAACCGCCGUCGCCAAAGCCGCUGUGGCCACCUCGCCUACCACCGCAAGCACCCAGUGGUCCAACUAGAUCAUGGCAAGGUGCAGGGCCCCCCUGCCCUGAACUAGCUGCCAACCCACAACUCCACACUGGACGCGCACGCUGCCACCCACCACUAACUCCAGCGGCCACCAUCUCCCAUCGGAUUACAACCAUCGAGGCCCACACUACCCACAACCCACGCCACACAUAA
rnacentral:rRNA from 1 species